CGACAUUUUUUGUUUAACGUAUUCAAGGCGAGCUGUCAUUUUCCCGGGAACCUCCGCAUCACGUGACUCACCCGGCGGCGCCUCUUGUGCAGCUCUUCUCUCCGAAUCAAAAUGGCGGCGCCGCAUGGCGUAAAACCGAAGGAUUUAAAGUGUGAUUUUACGGACCAUACAGCAGCACAGGCGCACCGGGACUCUCAGGUUGAAUUUGGAAAUCACGAUGUUCCUGUCUUCGAGCUGGAUGUCGGAAGGAUCUCAGAUGCUCUUCACGGAAGCCUGGAUCCGUCUAUUUUAUCCAUCUUUCAGGAGAAGAUGCUGACGGAUAGCGUUGAGAGCGAGGCGUCGCUGUUGUCCGCUCUGACCGAGAUGUUGGAUAGCGUGGACGUCGAGACGCUUUCGCCAUUCGACACGCUGCCGGACACGGAGAUUUUCGCAGCUCAGAAGGGUUCAGACCAUACGCUCAGGAAUCUGCUUCAUUUGAGCCAGACGUCACCGGAUCGGCCCAAAAUCUCUCAAUCACCAGCCGCAAAGUCAGGAAGAGAGGUCGUGAUGUCAGACAGACAGUUGAGACCCCGUCGCCAUUCAGUGACCCAGAUUACACAGCGAGACGAGCGUGAGAAGGAGCGCCGCUCUGUGAGAACCUUCCGGAUCGAAUCCGACCCCAUAUUCCCACAGGACGGACGUGAGUUGCUUGCAGAUUUAGUGAGACACAUGCAUCCGUACUGCGUCAGGACACACCUGGAGAAAGAGACGCGAGUGUCUGCGGAGGAGGAGGAGGAGUUUGUUGAUGUAGAAGGUUACGAGGAACACAUGCUGGACCAAUCAGGACAUGGACCAGACUUGAAGCCAAAAGCAGAACCAAAUGCACAGAAUACCGACAGCCAGGAAGAAAAAGUCACAUCUUUAGGGCGAAACGUUAAGAUGACGCCUAAACGCAGCGCUUUAGUCAAAACCAGCGGUGUGAAGAUGCGGGUGAAGAAAACGGUGACUUUUGCGUUUAAUCUAAUCUCCGUUCACGAGAUUCCACCUGAUGAUGAGGAGAUUUCUGAAUCCACAUCCUGUAAAACUGACAUCACUUCCUCUCAGAAGCCCAAAGCGCUCAGUCUAGACCAGUACCGUCUCCUCAGACAGAACAAACAACCUCCGGAGGAGAAGCGGAUGGACUUUCGAACCAAAUGGCCUUCGCUUCCCAGGGAGCUUCCGCCAAUCCUGCCCAAGCUGGAUCCGAACACACCUUCUGGUGAGAUAUUACCAGCUGUUAAAGUGAAAACCCAGCCGCAGGGAAUCACACGUCCCUCUCGGAAAGACGGCAGGAAGGCUGUAGAGCUUUGCAUCGACCCUCCAAACCCGGUUUUGGUGCCCUUGAAACCCACACGACGCAUAAACGCAACCCAGACCGCCUCAGAACCGCUCGGUUCAGACUCGAAACCAGACGUCUGUGUUUCUUGUGAAGAGGUUCGACUCUCUGAGGUUGUGCCAGUGACAUCUGCUUCCAAACCCAGAACUGGACAGCAGAACCAGACGGCGUGUGACGGAGUAAUUGGAAUUGAAGCCGCUGAUCUGACCAGCCUUUUGGAGCAGUUUGAGACUCAAGGACUAACUCCACCCGCCACACCUCCACAUCAGAUCUGGAGGCCCCUGGCGUCUGUCAAAGGGACGAAACAUGAAUCCAUCAAGCCGUCGCCAAGCAAAGCCAUUCAGAUAAUCGAACCCCGCCCACUGCCGCCCAGUAAAACUCACUCAAAACCCUCACUUCCCACCUUCACUCCUGCGAUGAAUCCCGCUCGAGCGUUCCUGGACCACGACUACUGCGGGAUUCAGGGCAGUGAGACAUGUUUCGCGCACACAAACUCGCUGUCUGGUUCGGUGCUGCUGUCUCCUGACAGCUCCCCCUGCAGGAUGGAGGCGUUCGAGGAGGCGGAGUCUCUGAGGGGGCGGGGCUUGCGCUUCUCCUCCCGCUCUCUGAGCCCAUUGGACCGCGGAAGGCUGAAGAGGCGGGCUUAUGAAUGCGGAUACCGGCGCUCCAGUUCCAGGUCAUGCUCCUCGUGUUCUUCAUCAUCUUCAUCAUCAUCUCGUUCCAUGUCUCGUUCGCCACCCAGAACAAGGUAA
rnacentral:lncRNA from 1 species